CUCCUUGAGCUGUGGUGGGCUCCACCCAGUUGGAGCUUCCCGGCUGCUUUGUUUACCUAAGCAAGCCUGGGCAAUGGCGGGCGCCCCUCCCCCAGCCUCGCUGCCGCCUUGCAGUUUGAUCUCAGACUGCUGUGCUAGCAAUCAGCGAGACUCCGUGGGCGUAGGACCCUCCGAGCCAGGUGUGGGAUAUAGUCUCGUGGUGGGCCGUUUUUUAAGGCCGUCGGAAAAGCGCAGUAUUCAGGUGGGAGUGACCCGAUUUUCCAGGUGCCGUCUGUUACUCCUUUCUUUGACUAGGAAAGGGAACUCCCUGACCCCUUGCGCUUCCCGAGUGAGGCAAUGCCUCGCCCUGCUUUGGCUCGCGCACAGUGCGCGUGCACCCACUGACCUGUGUCCACUGUCUGGCACUCCCUAGUGAGAUGAACCCGGUACCUCAGAUGGAAAUGCAGAAAUCACCCGUCUUCUGCAUCGCUCACGCUGGGAGCUGUAGACUGGAGCUGUUCCUAUUCGGCCAUCUUGGCUCCUCCCAGAGGAAAGUACUUUCAAGCUUGCCUGAGGUCUGAGAAGCUGAGCUUUCUGCAGUGGUCUCAGUGGAACCUUUGACCAGAGCAUUCGAAGGGUGCCUUUCCUGUUUCCUUUCUCGGCAUUGAAACAUCAAGAUACGGAAUCCAGAAGGGUCACCAGAACCUGGCCCUCUGCAAUCUGGACUCGAGGCUGCAGACUUGCUGUUGAACUGGGCUGGGCAGGAGGGCAGAGUGGGCACCAGGGCCCACCUUCCUGGGGCCCUGAAAGGGUGGGAUGGUGUGUACUGGUCCCCUCACCCAAAUGCAGGUGUGGGAGGAGGACAUCCAUCAUGAUGCUACAUGGCAUUUGCUUCACCACCAGGAGAGAGGCAGAGCAAAGCUCUGGGCCAAGAGGGUUAGGGAAUUUGUUUCAUAAAACUGACAGCUUGGCGAGUAUUCAAUCACUCGGCACUCCACAGCCCAGGAGAACAAAUAAGUCCUUUGCUGAUGCCGCUCCAGACACAUUACGAUGUAUGUUCCAUAGCUUGAUUCCCACCUUCCCACUUUUUGCCUCCUGCAGCAAAAAGAAAAGGAGGCAGAAUGCACAUAGAAAAAUACAAUGAAACCUACGAAGAAGAGAAAUUCAUCAAUCAUACUCUCAUUUGGAAGUUGGAGAAAAAUGUCCUCGUUGGAUAUGCUAUUGCUGUUUUAGUCGCUGUGCCUGGCCUUACCUUCCAGAAGGCCAGUUGAUUCAGAGGACUCCCAGCCAUUAUAUUGUCCUAUUCUUGGUGCUCCCAGACAUGUGUCUUUGCAAGCUCUGACAGAGGCUUUAAUAAGGCAGAUAAAGCAAGCUUGGUGGCUGCCUUUGGCCCAGGUGGUGCCAAGAACAGGUUACUGGCUUGCAGCCUGGGCAUUGUCUUGGGCAGAAGAGACCAGCCUGCCCCAAACCCUAUACCAGCAAGAACCCAGCUUGGAAACUUCCUGUUUAACAAGCCUAACUCACAGCAGCCAGAGAAAGAAAACCAUUACAAAAUUUCUGCUCCCACCCUCUCCAUCAAAACAAAUCACAGGACUGGAUUUUUUUGGUACUCAUACACAAAGCUAUGAUUUAAAAAUCCCUGCAUGUGAUACAACAAAUCUAUGCUGUUAAAAGAUAGUGGCUAUUGUUGGUGAGGAUAAUGAAGAGGGCAUGAAGAAGCUUCCAGGGGCUGGUGCAGUCUGUGUCUCCUUCAGGGCACUGGUGACAUCGGUGUGCUGUUUGUGAAAAUUCUUCAAGAUGUACACUUAAUAAUAUAUGCAAUUUUGUGUAUGUAUGUAAGAAUUUUAGACAAAAAUCCACAAAUAAAAAUUUGUGUUAGAUAAUUUUUAACACAUCUCCCAUCCAUAUAGCUGGCUUUAAAAACCAAACAUUACCAAGGAAAGAAUAAACCAUGUCACCCUACUGCUUAAAAAUUGACCUAUUUGAAGUGUGUGUGAAAUAGACAACCUUUUAAAAAUGCUGAUGCUAUUAUUUAAGUUCUAAUAUCUACUCCUCAUACAGUGGUACAGAGUGCCACAAAUGAACAAGAAGACUCAUUUUCUCUCUCAGACUCAUUUUAGGAGGGCAGGGUAUCAUUGAGGGCACUUUCCAAAGACCUAAGUCCCAUUUGGGGUGGUUCUCAACUAUCUGAACCACAUGGCCAUGGCCGAGGAAUCUUAUUCUUGCCUUUUUCACAUCUUCCUCUAGUUUUCCCUUUCGCUUUUAUUUCCCUGAACUGAAUUCCUCCUAGACCACCCUCCAUAUUCUAGUUGUUGAGAGUUCAGGUGCCACCACGAGAAUAAACUCUGAGUGCUUUUCCCUGUCACUGGUGUCCUAAGAUGAGUGUGUCACCUCACUCUGCAUUUCUCUUUGUAUUUCUGAAUGUACCUGAAGGCUUGCACCAGGACCCAACAGGAAAAAUCCCUUUCAUUAGCUUCCUACUCCAAGCUCUCCACUUUGUACCAUUUACAACAUGUUGCCUGUUUAUUUACUGAGGUUUGCUUUGCAAGAGAAAUCUUUGGGAUGGGGGUGGAGAAAGGAAGCUUUUGAAAACUUAAAAUUUUUUAAAUUUGGUUUCAGUAGAGUGAUGAAUAAUGGAGGAUUACAGUUGCUUUGCAAAAUUAAAAUCUGAAUGGUCUACUGCUACACAAGAGUCUGCAUCUUGCUGCUCCUAGAAAAAUAAAAAGUCUUUUCUAAUCAUGAUUUUAAGGACGUAGGAAUGCAUUAUGUAAAGAAAGUGUUUUUCUCACUCAAGACUCAGUUUAACAUAUUUCCAUGUCCAGUUAAGGACUUUCAAGUCCCAGAUUCCAGCAGGACUGAAGGAUUUGUUCACUCAUCUGAAAUUCAACUGAAAUAUCUAGACAGGCAUCAGAUGGGUGGGAUAACAAGAAUGGCAUAGGGCGGUCUAGUUUCCAGGAAGACAGGGUAAGGAUCUCAGGCUCCUAUUUUA
rnacentral:lncRNA from 1 species